AUAGAUGCGUGUGGCCCCUCCUCUCAGGAGGCUGACUUUGAGCAAGAGACGGAGCUUAAAAUCAGCAUUUGCCAUGAUGGCCAUUCAGAAGCGAUCACAUUCAGUCAUGCAUGUGCCUCACGCUGACCGGCUGCAGCCCCGGGAUUCCGUCACAUGCCCUCUCAUCCAUCCUACUCGUCAGCAUUUACUGAGACCUUACUAUGUCUCGGAGAUUUCCCUAACAGCUAUACAGUCAACUGUCCCACAGUGCCCUGUACCGCGUUGAAAGGCACAGGUUACUGAACUUGGAGUAACAAUGACAGUUACAUUUGACUUUGCAUGUGCGGGCCAGGAACCACAUGGGAGGCUGGGGCAGGAUGUGGGCAGGAGGAAGCCCAGAAGUUGGGGACCCCAUGGGGUACUUAACAGGCCCAGCACAAAAUGUGUUCCUCCAGCUCCUGGGAGCAUCUUGAAGGACAAAGGCUGCAUUUUGGCUCUGGAGGUGAGGCGUGGGGUCCUGGAGAGCACCGGGACCUUCCAAACACCCCCUUGUGGGCAUUUUCUAGCUGCGACCCUCGUGGCCCCGCUGGUUCCUCCUCUUCCCUUUCUGCACAGUCCAUCAACGCUCCUCCUCGUCACCACCAAGACACGAGAUUGCAGCAGGAAGGACAUGUGAUUCCAGGGAGUUGCUGCUGAACUAAUAUGUGAAAUCUCAAAAAAUAGCCAGAGAAUAAACCAGGCAUCCGCCGUUAGAGGAGGGUCAUGAUGUCAUCGCACAUCUUACCACCAGAUGUCGCCACAGUACACGUACCCGUUUCUUCAUUGGCGAAUUCCUCAUUUACUAA